AAGUCGUAACAAGGUUUCCGUAGGUGAACCUGCGGAAGGAUCAUUGACAAAUCUAAACAAUGUUGCUUGUGGUGAGUAGCAAUGCUUACUGCAAGUUAACAAACAUUCUAACCUGUGAAUUGGCAGCACGCAAGUGUUGUUUGUGUAAAGUGCGUGUGUUGCAUUACCUUUAUUAGGUAGCUGGUAGCAUGCGCCUUUGCCUAAAUUAACGUAACAAAUUGUCUUAACAAAAACAAAACAAAAUACAACUUUUAGCAAUGGAUCUCUUGGCUUCU
rnacentral:misc_RNA from 1 species